AGUCUGAACGCUGGCGGCGUGGCUAAGAUAUGCAAGUCGAACGGUGUAGCAAUACACAGUGGCGGACGGGUGAGUAAUGUAUCGCUAAUGUACCCCGAUGUCUGGGAUAGCUAGUCGAAAGAUUAGGUAAUACCAGAUGAGACCACAGAACCGCAUGGUUCGGUGCUCAAAGGGUCACCGCAUUGGGCGCAGGCGAUAUCGUAUCAGCUAGUUGGUGAGGUAACGGCUCACCAAGGCGACGACGCGUAGCCGGGCUGAGAGGUCGGCCGGCCACAGUUGGGACUGAGACACUGCCCAGACUCCGUACGGGGGCUGCAGUAACGAAUCUUCCGCAAUGACACG
rnacentral:rRNA from 1 species